AUUGAACGCUGGCGGCAUGCUUUACACAUGCAAGUCGAACGGCAGCGCGGGCUUCGGCCUGGCGGCGAGUGGCGAACGGGUGAGUAAUACAUCGGAACGUGCCCAGUAGUGGGGGAUAGCUCGGCGAAAGCCGGAUUAAUACCGCAUACGACCUGGGGGUGAAAGCGGGGGAUCUUCGGACCUCGCGCUAUUGGAGCGGCCGAUGGCAGAUUAGCUAGUUGGUGGGGUAAAGGCCUACCAAGGCGACGAUCUGUAGCUGGUCUGAGAGGACGACCAGCCACACUGGGACUGAGACACGGCCCAGACUCCUACGGGAGGCAGCAGUGGGGAAUUUUGGACAAUGGGCGAAAGCCUGAUCCAGCAAUGCCGCGUGUGUGAUGAAGGCCUUCGGGUUGUAAAGCACUUUUGGCGGGAACGAAAAGGACUGUGCCAAUACCACGGUUCGAUGACGGUACCCGCAGAAUAAACACCGGCUAACUACGU
rnacentral:rRNA from 1 species